CAUUUAUGUUUUGAUUCCGUGUGUGGAAUAUGGAUGACGGAUAACUUUGAGCCUGUUGAUUUGAUUAUUUACACGCAGUAUAAAUAACUUCUAGUCGUAUUAUCAGAGUGAAAGAAGGACAAAAGCAAUGAGAAGUUUCGAUAGUUCUAAUCUACUUUCGAUAGUCGACCUGUAAGUCAUCGUUUUACAAUAACACUGUAUCAAAAUGAGUGUUUCAUUUACAACAACGCCUAAACAAAAAGGUAAUUUGUACUUGGCAUCUUCUUUGUGCGAUGGAGUGGAAGAUAAUGACUUGAAACAAGUGACAACUCUUUUAACGAAAAAAGAUGCUGACCCAAAUGUAUUGAUGCCAUUGCAUGGAAUCACACCAUUUCAUCUGGUAAUAGGCAAUGACUCUGAAGCAUUUGCUGAAGAAGUGACAAAAUUAUUCUUACGACAUGGUGGAAAUCCUAAUGUUAGAUCAGUUGAUGGUAUGACACCUGUACAUGUAGCAGCAGCAUGGGGUCGGACUACAAUUCUUGAUCUUUUGCUGGCUAAUGGUGGAGAUCCACUUUACCUUGAUAAUGAUUAUUGUUCUCCCAUACACUAUGCUUUUCAAGGAGAGCAUCAUGAUGCUGUACACAUACUUACUAAAUAUUGUACAAAUGAUGAAGAAGAAGAUGAAAAACCAAAAUUUAAAAGAGAAUUAGAAAAAAUAUUAGUAAAUAAUGGCGAUGUAUUGGCAGAGUACAUUUUAUCAAAUGAUUCCAUAUAUAGUUCUACUACAGAUUCUUCUUUCAUUAGAAGUAGAAGUUCAAAUAUAAAUACAAGUGAUUAUAUGCCUGAAAGUAGUACAACAAAUUCAAUGUCAAUAAAUAAUAAAUUUAUAACUUUGAGGAAAGAAAAGAAAGAAACUAGAAAAAAUAAGUUUGAUUUGAAAAAAGAAACUGAUGAAGAAGAAAGGAUUCUGAUUAAUAAAAUCAUUGCUCAGUUAUCCAGUACCAUUACCAGUGACAUAGAUUCAAGCACAUCCAUAUUUCAAGAAUAUGAAAGUGAAUACUCUUCCAAUGAAGUCAGCCCACCAAAGCACAAACGAAUAUCAAUGACUUUCAAUAGACCAAAGAGGAAUAAUGAGUUCACUAAGCUGAAAGAGAAAUCUACUAAUAAUAAUCGUAGUUCAACUUUGCAAGUAAUCAAACAACAUAAUCAUGUUUCGUACUUGAAUAAUGAGGUACUGAAAAAUAAUUUGAAGAAAAUACCUAAUAUUUCAGAAAAAAAUAAUCUUACAAAGAAAAGUAUGCAAUCAUUGACAAAAAAACAUGUCACACCAAAUAAAUUUGAAACUUCAACUUUAACUCAAGAUAAUCUUUCGUAUACGAAUAAAUGGCUAGAUGAAACAAUCAUUAGUAGAUCACCAAAUUUAGUUGUUGAUACACUCUUACAUGAAAAAAAGUCAAAAAUGACAAAUACCCUGUUAGAAAAAAGAUCUUCUCCAACAUUUGUCAAAAUAUCAAAAAGAUCACCUUUGGUUACUCCUACAAAAGGUAGAAGCCCUCAAACUUUCAAUAAAUGCGUAACACCAGUCAAUCAAAUAUCAAAAUCAAAGAAGUACUUUACAACACCGUCUCAUUUAAAAACUGUUAAGAGAAAUUUGAAAAACUCAACAAAAACAGUUGUCUAUAUCUCAAAUAAACGAAAAGUAAAUUCAUCAGAAAGAAUAUCUACAUCAAAAAUAUCUAAUACUAAGGUGCCAUUGAAUCAUAUGAACAAUCAAACUAUAUUCAAAGGAAAUUCAACAUGUAGUAGGUCACAGGAUAUUGAUUGCAAGAAACUAAGUUUCAAGAAAGUAGCUAUGAAUUUGAAUGAUUGUAAGUAUGAUGAUGAAGAAGAUUUAAUUAAUGAAAGAAUAAAUAAUGUAACGACAAAUAGUAUCGAGAAUAAAUUAAAUGGGUGCCUUCCAUUUGAUAUUAAUGAAGAAUAUGAAAAACAACUUCCAAGAUCUCAUUAUGUUUCUGGUAUUGGUAUGUUGGAAUCAGGAAUAACAUCAAGAUCAAAUUCAAAAUCAGACAGUGAUAAAGAAAAUAGUUUAUCAAACAAUUCACAAAUAAUAGAAGCAAUUAUCGAAAAGAAUACUGCUGGGACUCUUCCAAAGAAUGAAUCUAGAAAAGAAAAAAUCAAUGAAGAACGUGAAAUUUCUCAACAUUUUGAAAAGCCUGCUGAUGCUUAUGGUAGUCCCACGUCUACAAUAGGUUCUAGCUUAUCAGUAUCGAGUGAUAGUUAUCAAUCAUUACCCAAACGAGACCACAUUACUGUCGAUAAUGCAGAUAAUGAUAAGAAUGUGGAUUUGGAAUCACCAUUAUUCCUAAGUAAUAAUAGUAUUUUUAAAGAUAGCAAGAUUAAAACUUCUCCAAAACAUGAGUUAGAUACAUUCCUUAAUAUAGAAGAAGAGUAUAAGUAUGAAGAUCCUGAAGAAGGCAUUAAUUUCUUAGAAAGAAGGCUAUGUGUUAGUCCACCUUGUGCUUCUUCUGACAUGAAUUCUUCGUACUAUUCCUGUAGUACUGCAAAAUCAGAACCAUUGCCUAAAGAAUUACUCAUGUUAGAUAAUAUAACUUUACGUGAAAGAUUACAAAAUUUGGGUGAUAAUCCUGGACCAAUCACAGAAACAACUCAUCGUUUGUACUUGAAACGCUUACAUAAGUUAGAAUCAACAAGCAAAAAAUCAAUACAUCAAAAUCAUGCUUUAUGCAUUCAAUCCAAGAAGUUGACCGAUUUUAACACUGAAAAUGAUAAUUUAAAAUCAUCAUUACUCUCUAUAGAAUGGAUACAAAAUUUAGAUGAUUAUGAAGCUAAUGAACAAAAAAUCUUUUUAGAAUUUCACAAUCCUAAUCCAUCACGAAAAUGGCGCGAAGGAACUACUAAAUGUUCCUUCAACUACCUUCUUCUUGACCCUCGAAUAACAGAAGAUCUUCCAAGGAGAGCAAAUACACUAAGUAUGUCGAAUAAAUGGAAAACUUUCCUAUCAGCAAUUUUCUAUGUUGGCAAAGGAAAACAAUCGAGACCUUAUGCUCAUCUUUACGAUGCUUUUAAGAUUUGGGUUUCCAAAAAUCAACAUGAUACAAGUGAAAAAAUUCAAAGAAUUCUUGACAUUUGGAAUGAUGGCAGGGGAGUUGUGGUUCUACAUGUAUUUCAUAAUACCAUUCCUGCUGAGGCCUACACUAGAGAAGCAGCAAUGAUUGAAGCACUAGGUACAAAAAAAUUAGGAAAUUGUAAGUGCGGUGAUUAUUAUGGAGUAGUUGCCACAUGGAGAUUAAAAGAAAAAUGUGAACUAGGCAGGUACUUACUGUUUAAAGCUUUCCAAAUUCUUCUAGUGGAAGGAGAAAGACAAAUUUUUCCUGAUAAUCUUUAGGAAUAGUUUAUAACGUGAAUUGUUUCAAAAUUAUUAAUAUGUAUAAGCAUUUGCUUAGAAAUAUUUGGAAAUUGAAAGAUGUUUUAUCUGAAUAUUUUUUAUACAAAAGAGCUAUUAAAGAGUUUAUAUUUGAAAAGACUGAUAAUAGUUAUGACAAGGUACAAAUAUAAUUAGAUAGUGUAUACUAUAUUUGGACAAUUGUAUGAAUCCUUAGAAGUUUCUAAUAUCUUAUCUUGUAGAGUUGACUCAACAUAAUAGACAGACACUUAUGUUGUAGAAUGUACUUAAUUGCAAAACAAAAGUACAAUUGCUACAGAAUUAAAUCUAUAAUUUACCACAAUAAUAUUUACAAUUAAAAUUAGAGAUAUUAAAUUUUGUAAAUUAGAAUAUUUCAGUAUUGAACUCAAAAUGUAGUAAAAAUUAUGAUUUAAAAUGAUGUUAUGCUUCAUCAAAUAUAAUAUAAUAAAUAUAUAUGUUUAUUAAACCUUCUGUUUUGCAAUAUUUGAGGUAAGAUAUAAAUUUCAUUCGAAUAUAAGUUAAAAUAUACAAAUUUUUAUUUGUUAUGAAAGUAUUUAUUUAGGUGUCAAUAUUUAUAAACAAGCGAAUUUAAUUCUACAUGAGCAAGGCCAUUCCUUGCCACUAGUGUCAAAUGUUUAUUAUAUUAUAAUUAACAAUUGUUAUUAAGAAAUCACAAGAGAUAGAGUAUAUGAUAGAGUAUAUACAAUAUAUUAUUAUGAAAUAACAUACAGAGUUAUAUGAGAACAUUAGACAAUUUAUUCAAAUUUUGGUAAAAUUAUUAUAAUAUAUCGAAAUUUUAAAUAUAAAAAAAUGAUAAACUAUUUUAUUUUUUUACAAAUAUGUGACAUAAAUCAUUUUUUAUUUGUGAUAUUUCUCAUCAUUGUGAUAUUUCAUUUUUCUAAUGAUCCAUUGAUUAGUGUAAAUUUUUUUAAUUUAAAAUUUUAUAUGUUAUUUUUAAUUAGUUUGCAAAUCAAAUGAAGAUAUCAACUCAGCUACGACUACGCCAUCUUACUAAAAGUAUACCAAUGAACAAUGUUUGCAAUUUAUAGAAAAAGCAGACUUCAGGAACUCAGUAAUCCGCGUGCACUGUGCUAUAGGACACGUGUUAAGACUGAGUAAAGUCUAACUCUGUGUGUGUGUGUGUGUGUGUUUAUAUGUAUGUAUGCAUGUGUGGUGUGUGUGUGUGUGUUUAGAUACACAUCAACAACAAAAAGAAUAAAUUUUCAUCUUCUAAAAACCUUCAAUUGUGAUAGUUUUGAAAUGUGGUUAUAAUUUUAAUAUAACAAUUACUCCAAAAUGCAGUUUACAGAGGUAAACUUGAUGAGACGUAAACAAAAGCCAACAAAUUUAUUCAUUUACCCAUUGUUGUAUCAUGUCUGCAAUAAUUUUGGAAGAAAUAUUUUCCAUAAUUAAAAUUGUGUGGUUUAUAGAAAAUAACAUCUACGAAUUUACUAUUGCUUGAACAAAAGACGUUAAUUCAUUCCUCUAAGUUCUACGAAAUCCAGUUCUAGCAUAAUCCAUACAAUCGCAUGCAUGUAGUCAAUAUAUCUUUACUGGAAUAUAUACCGAUGCGAAAACAGCCCGACACAAAUAACAUUUUAUAAAAAAAAAGU